AUGGGGAAAGGCACCCAUGGUGCCAACUUCAUUCAACUCAGUACGGGUCCUUUUUGUUGCCAAGAACGGGUCCUUUUUGAAGAAAGAGUUUCUCUCGAGAGAAGUGGGAGGAAAGUAGAACUCGAUGAAGUACUACCUCUUGAACAGGAAAGUAGUGCAGCUCAGGAAAAUGUUCCUGUGGUGCCUGCAUCGGAUAGAGAGGAAAUUAAUGAUGAUGAUCAAGGUACUUUGGAUCAAGUUGUUACUGAACUUCGAAGGCCCACAAGGACACGUUCCACAUCAGAAUGGUAUGGCAACCCUGUCUUGGAAAUCAUGUUGUUAGACAAUGGUGAACCUUCGAACUAUGAAGAAGCGAUGGCGGGCCCAGAUUCCAACAAAUGGCUUGAAGCCAUGCAAUCCGAG
rnacentral:rRNA from 1 species